GUCUUUAAGAUUAUUAUUUAAAGUCUAACCUGCCCAAUGAUGAUUUGAAUGGCCGCAGUAUUUUGACUGUGCUAAGGUAGCAUAAUCACUAGUUUUAUAAUUGAAAACUUGUAUGAAGGGUUGGAUGAAGCAUUAACUUUUUUUAAUUAAAUUUUUUAUAAUUUUACUUUUAAGUUAAAAGGCUUAAAUUUUUUAAGGGGACGAGAAGACCCUAUAGAGUUUAAUUUAAUUUUUUGUAUUUUAUUUUGGUAAUUAAAUUUAUAUUUAAAAUUAAAUUUAGUUGGGGUGAUUGAAAAAUUAAAUUAACUUUUUCUCUUAAUAACAAAAAUUUUUGAUUAAUUGAUCCCUUGUUAGGAUUAUAAGAUUAAACUACCUUAGGGAUAACAGCGUAAUUUAUUUUUAGAGUUCUUAUUGAAAAAUAAGUUUGCGACCUCGAUGUUGGAUUAAGAUUUCUUUUUGGUGCAGUAGCUAAAAUAGUAGGUCUGUUCGACCUUUAAAAUCUUACA
rnacentral:rRNA from 1 species